rnacentral:rRNA from 1 species
GGGUGAGUAACACGUGGAUAACCUACCUAUAAGACUGGGAUAACUUCGGGAAACCGGAGCUAAUACCGGAUAAUAUUUUGAACCGCAUGGUUCAAAAGUAAAAGACGGUCUUGCUGUCACUUAUAGAUGGAUCCGCGCUGCAUUAGCCAGUUGGUAAGGUAACGGCUUACCAAGGCAACGAUGCAUAGCCGACCUGAGAGGGUGAUCGGCCACACUGGAACUGAGACACGAUCCAG